UACGAAGGGGGCUAGCGUUGUUCGGAUUUACUGGGCGUAAAGCGCACGUAGGCGGAUCGUUAAGUCAGGGGUGAAAUCCUGGAGCUCAACUCCAGAACUGCCUUUGAUACUGGCGAUCUCGAGUCCGGAAGAGGUGAGUGGAACUCCUAGUGUAGAGGUGGAAUUCGUAGAUAUUAGGAAGAACACCAGUGGCGAAGGCGGCUCACUGGUCCGGAACUGACGCUGAGGUGGCGAAAAGCGUGGGGAG
rnacentral:rRNA from 1 species